ensembl:lncRNA
GUAUCUUGCAUUUUAAUGUAAAUUUUAGAGUUUAAAAAGGCCUGCUGGGGUUUUGGUUGGAAUUCUGUUGAAUCUAUUCAUCUGUUUGGGAAAAAUUGAUACUUUAACAACAUUGAAUUCUCUAGUCUAUAAUCAUACCGUAUCUCUUCACCUUUUUAUUUAUUUUGGUCUGUAGUUUUCUUUGUAAUUUUCAGCCUAUAGGUCGUGCAUAUAUACUAUUAAAUUUAUUCCUAUUUCAUAUAUUUAUUAUAUUAUAAAGAAGUUUUUAUUUCAUUAUAAAUGUACUUUUAAAUUAAAUUUCCAGUUUUUUGAGUCAUUGUGGGGUUUUUUUUGGCUUUUUAGGGCCACAUAUGGAGGUUCCCAAGCUAGGGGUCCAAUCGGAGCUAUAGCUGCCAGCCUAUGCCACAGCCAUAGCAACACCAGAUCCAAGCCAUGUCUGACUUACCUCACAGUUCACAGCAAUGCCGGAUCCUUAAUCCACUGAGUGAGGCCAGGAAGCGAACCUGCAUCCUCAUGGAUGCUAGUCAGAUUUGUUUCUGCCAAGCCAGGACGCAAAUUCCAAGUCAUCGUAUUUUUCAGCUCUAGAAUUUCUGCUUGAUUCCUAUUUAUACGUUCUAGUUGUGUAGUAAAAUUCUAAAGUCUGUGCUUAAUAACUCCAAUACUUAGGUCAUCGUUGGAUCUUGUUUCAAUUGCCUUUUUCCCAUUCCUGUUUCCUGGUAUGCUCAGAAAUUCUUAAUGGAAUCCUGUCUUUGUUUAUGAAAAAAGUUACGCUCUGAAUGAUGUUUUUCGCUUUUGUAAAGGAUUUUAAUUUUGCCUAGAGCAAAACACCUCAGCUUAUAUGGUUUUUGGUCUGUUAGGUCUAGUCUAUUUCAGGCUCAUUCUUACUCCUAGGGUGGACCUUUUUGUGACCCAACUAAAAGCCUAAGUGUUUUCAAAGGCUCUUCCUCCCUAGUUGCCCCGAACUCUCAAUUUUUAUUUUUUCAGAACCAUGGGACUCCUGAAAGCUCUCCUUGACUUCCCUGCUUCUUAGCUGCUAUUUUCUGAGUGACUUGGCAAUCUUUAGAACAACUUCCAAAUUGGCAACUGAGUCAAGGGGGAAAAGAGUUGAACUUGAAUAUGAGCAAACUUCUCUCUACCUUUUCUUUAGGAUCUUGUCCUCUCAAGAUGCCAUCAAAAAGAUCUUUUUUAAUUUUUACCCAGGUUUUCUAGUUCAGUUUAGAAGAUGAGUUUGAUUUGGUCUUCAUUGGCAGAGUGAAAGCCCUUAAUCUGAGAAUCUCAGUCAUGCUAAUAAGGGUAGUAUUUAUUUAUUUAUUUUUUUUUUCUGUACCAAGGUUACCACUUCUUGCCCUCAAACAUCAAAAACAACCUGGGAAACACCCCAGUGGCUUUCUGUCUUGCUUCUGGAGGUGUGUCUAGAACCUCUUGGAAGUGACACCCCUUGCCACCAAUGGGUUCCUAAGAAAUAUCCUUAGUUCUCUUUAGGGUUGGCCCACCUCUGUCUUGUGCCCUCUGUCCCUUCUGCUGAGGAAGCAAGGUAGUUCUGUUUCUAUCCAAACCAAACAUGACUAUGCCAUAGCUGUAAAUUCAGUCUGUCUCCUUUGGUUCUCUUAUAAUACAGGUGUAUGUUACAGUUCUACAGGAAGAAAUGCAUCCUUUUAUUUUUUUUGUAGAUGAUCAGUAAAGAAAUACAUGUUCCCCAGAGAAUGGAAUUGAUUUCUUACUGUAAUUUCAAGCAAUAAUUAUAUGAAACAUUGCCUACCACUUCAUAGGAGUGCUAUAAAAAGGUCAAAAUGAUCAGACCUUAAUUUCAGAGCCCCCACUUCCUGCGUGGGUGGAAUUGAGCAAGUUAUUUAAGUUUUCUCAGCUUCAGUUUUCCUAAUUUGAAAACCAAAAAGAUGUCUACUUUCCAGGGUGAUUGUUGGGCUUAAAAAAGAUACUGUUUGCAAAAUAUCUAAUACAUUGUAGAUUCUAUUAUUAUGUAUUGAAUUAUUUCUAGAGAAAGGUAAUUUUAACUUCAAGGGGAAGUGGUCAAGGGUAACUUGUCCAUGUGGCAGCCAUAUUUCAGAACCCACCGUGUUUCCAGAUUUCUGCUCAUCAUGUAGUUUGUUUUACUCCAUUAACAUUGAUUGGGUCUCUGUUCAAUACCAAGCACUGCACCACUACACUGGGAUGCAAAAACAGUGAAACAACUUGCCUCUAAACUAUGUAGAUAGAGCUUUUCCAUUUUAUUGAAAGCCGUAGCCAGAAGUGUUCUGAAACAGUUUUACUGCCCUUAGUGUUCAAAAAUGAGACUGUUGUUUUGUUCUCUCACUUCUAUUUAAACAAAUCUUAAAAUAGUUUUUGUUACCUAGUAUAAAAAUUACUAUAAUAGAGUAACCUAGAAUAAAAUUUGAUAAAGUUUAACCUAGACUAAAAUUUAAUAGAAGUUCUAACAUGAAUACCUUCCAAGGGACUUUUGUUACUAACAAACCAAUAGAUUAGUAUGCUGAGGUAGCGUCACAAAAUGGGACCUGAGCUCCGCUCUGGUGUAUUAAUAAUUAGCCUGAUUCACCCAGAGAUUGGAGAAUAGGCUGUUACCAAAAAACAGAAGGAAGUUCUGUUCCCCAUACUGGUGGGGGGCUUUCAUUCUUUAAGGAGGAAAACCAGUUUGUUUUAUAGGUGAAUCUUCACUAAAAUAACUAUUUUCCAGCCUUUCCCUUUUAACUCUGCUCUUUGAAUUGUUCUAGUUUCAGACAUAGUUGUAAGCUCCUUGAAUACAAGCCCUUGUCUUCAGUUUUUAUCCUGUCUUCUCAUACCUAUCCCUAAUGUGUACCUAAUUCUUAUCCUACCUAGGAACAUAAUAGUUAUUCAGUUUUAUAACAUUCUCAGAUUUGGUAGGAGAUUCUCCCAUGAUAAGAAAAUACCUCUCAAAGUCAAAUACUCUGUUUUCUGAGGUGGAGUCCCUUUAUUAUUUGGUGGUUUUCAUUUUCCUAAUAGUAGAAUAAACAAAUGUAGCCCAGAACAGAUUUUUAAAAAAAUUCUCACAGUACUGACCAUAAAAUGAUCCAAAUUACGUCGCACUGGUUAAAUUUCCUAACUUUCUUGCUUUAAAAAUACAUGUGUAAAGAAGUAAUGACAAUACAAUAUAGUCAUUCACCAUUUCUACCUUGCUGCACCAUUCUACUUUCCAUGUUUGGGUUUACAGUCCUCUAUUGUAUCACCAGAGUUUACAUGUUUAAAUUGUAUCUAUUCUAUAAUUGGGUAAACAAGUUACUUCAUUAUCUUUUGGAACAGUCAUACAUUGAAUUCACUACAUGCACACAAAAAAAUGGAAUGUCAGAUCUAGAGUAGCUUUCCCAUAACCCUGCUCUAUUAAUGUCUUAAAAAUCACAAAAUGCUCUUAUUCCAGAUCCUGAUGAGGUCAAGCUGGAGUGUCAGAUCUGACCUCUAUUUGCUCUAUAAGAGAUUUCUCAGUCCUAUUACAUUCCAAUAGUUUAAGUAUAGAUUUCCUGGCAGUCAUCUUGCCUUUUAUAAUGUGCUUGAAUGGGAUCAGUAAAACAAAUGUGCCCUUGAUUUCCCUGAAUGGGGUUAUUGUAAAGAAAUAAGAAGCCAUAAAUAAGGGUGCAAAACUCCUUUUAUCUCCAAAGCAUAAAUAGUCAUAUUGCAAGAUGGAACGUAUUUUCUUCAGUUUUUGUGAUAAGACAAUAUAAGUUUUAUAUGUUCAAAACAAAAUUUACAUUAGUACAAAACAACUGACAUAGUCUAAGAACUACUGCCCUCCAAAAAAAAAAAAAAAGCAUACUUUGGAGAACAUGUUUGUCAUAUCCCUUUACCAGAUAACUGAGUUAUUUUUAAAAUUAUAUUGACAAUUUCUCUCAAUUUAUCUAUUUCUUGAAGUUUUUCAAUUUCUCAAAAACAAAUAUAUCCUUAAUUGAUUGCCUGUGAUUUUCUGUGAUAAAACUUAAAAUGCAAAUUGUCUUUUACCUAAGUGUAUUAAUUUGAACUUGUUAUAGGUCAAAAAUAAUUUCAUGUAACUCUUCUUAAAUUGCUUUUAAAUCAUCAAAGGAUGACUUGGGGCUAUUUCCAGUUCUUUUUUUUGGGGGGGGGCUAGUCAUAUUCCUAUUUAUUCAAUAAUGAAAAUCCAUUUUUCCUUCUUAUAUUUUGUCCAGGAUUUGGGAAAGUUAUUAGAGGAGAAAACAGUUCAUUUUAAUUUUACCUACUCUCUAUCUUUGGUUUUAGUAUUUCAUUUGUCAUGAAUAGUUUGCGUGGUUGAGGACCAUCAUUUAUGGAAUAAUGAAGGAGAGUUAGGUUUUUAUAAAAUAAUAUUAAAACAGAUCGAAUUUCUACCCUUGUGGUUCUUAUACUAAGCACUUAGUGCCUAGAUUAAGAAGAUAAGUUUAUCCAAAGACCACGUAAAUGUUCCAUAACCAUUUUUAACAGUGUCCCAGCAGUGUAUUCUAUAUAUAAAGAAAAUAUGUUAGAAGUUUUCCUCUUACAUAACACUGUACAUGAUCACAAAAUACAGAUAUGAAAAAUGCAUGAAAAAGAUAAUAAAACAUCCACUUUGAAACAUCUUUAAAGCAGCGAUGAUAUGACUAAACUAAGUAAUUGAAAAGCAAGAGACCUUUUUAAAAAUGUUGAAUUCAAAGUCUACCUGUAGAGUUACAGUUAAAUCUAAAGAGAAAACACCCUUCUCUUCUUACAUCUUCAACUAUUUUCCUUGCUUUGUUUAGAAUAUUCUUAUACUGCUCAGAGGCAGCUUUAAACAAUAGCAGUGUUACCACACAAAGUCAUGUGGCUGUCAUUGAGCUUGAGUACCAUUCCAGAGAAGAUAUUCUUUUUCCAAAAGUCUGAUACCCCAACUUAGUCUAAUUUUUAAAGGGCUGAUGUUUAAUGAUAGGAGACUCUAGGGCAUAAAAUAAAGACAUUUGAUUGAUAAUGAGAAAUUUGAGACUAGAAAUAGUAAAAAGUUGUCUAGCCUCAAAGGAUUCCUAUCGUGAUGGCCUAAUUCUACUUGUCACUACUUAUUGAUCAGUCACUAGUUAUUAUUAUAAAAUUCUGGAUAGAAAUUCUAAUCAGUAUUCUGAUGCUCUUUGAUAGUUGGAGAAAAAAAGACACUCAUCGUAUGGGAAAUGUUUUACAAUGAAGUGUGAGGUCAAAUCCCUUGACUAUAAUAGCAAAGAAGAGUAAGAGCAAAGGGCGUUAUUAGAAGAGUCAUCACUUGUUAAGGGGUUAGUAUAUGCCUAGAGUUUUCUGGGCACCAUCUCUGUUAGUCCUCAUAGUUGGAAUCAGAAUGGCUUCUCCAUGGAGCAGGUGAGGUUUGCUCAGGAAUUUGAAGGUUUGAUUGACAUCAAACUUUCUAGUUGUAAACAGGGCCCAUAGUUUAAGUUCGCAUUUGAUCUAACCAUGUACUUCGAGCUUUUUUCAAUCUUUGUCAGCAUAACUUAAUUUUAUUUACUGAAUGUAAUCAUUUACUGAAUGGAAACUAUGGGGUGAAUAAAAAUCUUUAUUUUUUUCUUCCUGCUUACUUGGAAGUCUAUUCAAUGAGCUAUUUCUUCUCCACCUUUUGAAUGAUUUCUAGGAUGGGCGUCAUAGCUUUCCAAUCGUUCUUUAAAAAUAAGGCAUCUUCUCAUCACCUUUGGACACAAGAAGUGUCAUUUAAAUAUUCAGGAUCUCCAGACCAUGUAUAACCUUCCAACUUCAUCGUCUUAGCUUAUUCGAGGCUUAUCAUUCUCACAGUUGAGAAUUGUUUCAGGUUGAGAGGCUUGUAGUGUUUGGAUUCCCCUUUGUUUUCCUGUCUCAUGCUACUGCUUCCUCUCACAGUCAGCUAGCUGCCGUGCUUGGUCCUCCAGGGCUGAACUAAUGUUAAAAUGAUUGGAGAAAAAGAUUCACGGCCAUGACUCUAACAAUAUGAAACUGGCAUUCCCGGGACUUUUUUAAUCAAAGCAGGCUCUGUAGAUUCCUCUGCCUGGCAUCUCCAAUUACAGUAUUCUUUUUUUUUUUUCCCCUGAGUGGGCACUUAAGAAUUCAACUAACACUUAGCCAAGGACAUCUGUUUUCACCCCACCAGGAUUCUUUUUUUUUAGGAUCCCAGUUCCCUUUUAAGAGACUUUCUCCUCUAAGUAACUCUUGGGCAAAGUAGUCCCUUUUAAGAGACUUCUUGGCUGAUCUCUCUGGAAGGUACCCAUCUGGUUCACAAGAACCACUUGUCUUUCCUUGGCCUGCCUGUGUGCAGAAGUACUUAGCUUCUAACGUGGCCCUUUUCUCUCUGCUCUGCUGCCCGAAGCCAACAUGGCCACUCCUAUACUUAUAUUCCUCAUGUUUGGUCAGACACCAGGUUUAAAUCAAAUUAAUUCAUAAUUCUAUGAGAUACAAAUACAGUUUGCUCCAAAGCACAAUGUUUUUGAUAAUGCAAACAAAAAUUUUUCUCCUAUAUUUUCAUGAAAAGAAUUUUGUGCACAUAUCACAGUAUACACAAAAUUCACUUCCAGAUGUAUUAACAACUUAAUGAAAAUCAAAGCUUUAAAAAUUUUAGAAGGUUUUUGUUCCCGUCGUGGUGCAGUGGUUAUGGAAUCCGACUAGGAACCAUGAGGUUGUGGGUUCGAUCCCUGGCCUUGCUCAGUGGGUUAAGGAUCCGACGUUGCCGUGAGUUGUGUAGGUUGCAGACGCGGCUCAGAUCUGGUAUUGUUGUGGCUCUGGUGUAGGCCGGUGGCUACAGCUCUGAUUAGACCCCUAGCCUGGGAACAUCCAUAUGCCGGGGGUGCGGCCCUAGAAAAGGCAAAAAGACAAAAAAAAAAA